GCUCCAGUGUCUCUACACCGCGAAUUCGAGUUCCAUCUGUCCGAAGGAAGUGAUCCAUGCACUGAUCUAUCCAGAUCAAUCACCAUCUCCAUGAUGAUCCUUUGAUCAUGAGCAAUUUAGGAAUUAACCAUUAAUGACACAUGUCUCAAAUUCUCAAUUCUUUGAGAAUAUGUGUUAUCAUUUUGUUAAUCUCUUGGAUGAUUCAUGGAUACAUAAAUAUAAAUGAUAAUAUAACUGUCCAAUAAGUAUAAAAUCAUAUCUUAGAGAUAUGAAAUGUGUCAACCA
rnacentral:lncRNA from 1 species